rnacentral:rRNA from 1 species
UGGGAAAAGCUCAACUUUGUAAUCUGGCUGCUUUGCGGUCCGAGUUGUAGUCUCGAGAAGCAUUAUCCGCGCCGGACCUUGGCCAUGUCUGUUGGAAUACAGUGUCAAAGAGGGUGAGAAUCCCGUACAUACCAAGGACGCCCGUGUGCAUUGUGAUACGCUUUCAAA